rnacentral:rRNA from 1 species
ACCUGCCCUUAACUCUGGGAUAAGCCUGGGAAACUGGGUCUAAUACCGGAUAGGAGCGUCCACCGCAUGGUGGGUGUUGGAAAGAUUUAUCGGUUUUGGAUGGACUCGCGGCCUAUCAGCUUGUUGGUGAGGUAAUGGCUCACCAAGGCGACGACGGGUAGCCGGCCUGAGAGGGUGACCGGCCACACUGGGACUGAGACACGGCCCAGACUCCUACGGGAGGCAGCAGUGGGGAAUAUUGCACAAUGGGCGCAAGCCUGAUGCAGCGACGCCGCGUGAGGGAUGACGGCCUUCGGGUUGUAAACCUCUUUCAGUAGGGAAGAAGCGAAAGUGACGGUACCUGCAGAAGAAGCACCGGCUAACUACGUGCCAGCAGCCGCGGUAAUACGUAGGGUGCGAGCGUUAUCCGGAAUUAUUGGGCGUAGAGCUCGUAGGCGGUUUGUCGCGUCUGUCGUGAAAGUCCGGGGCUUAACCCCGGAUCUGCGGUGGGUACGGGCAGACUAGAGUGCAGUAGGGGAGACUGGAAUUCCUGGUGUAGCGGUGGAAUGCGCAGAUAUCAGGAGGAACACCGAUGGCGAAGGCAGGUCUCUGGGCUGUAACUGACGCUGAGGAGCGAAAGCAUGGGGAGCGAACAGGAUUAGAUACCCUGGUAGUCCAUGCCGUAAACGUUGGGCACUAGGUGUGGGGA